AGGACGAACGCUGGCGGCGUGCUUAACACAUGCAAGUCGAGCGGAAAGGCCCUUCGGGGUACUCGAGCGGCGAACGGGUGAGUAACACGUGAGUAAUCUGCCCCUAGCUCUGGGAUAGCUCCGGGAAACCGGGAUUAAUACCGGAUACGACCACCUUAGACAUCUUUUGUGGUGGAAAGAAUUUCGGCUAGGGAUGAGCUCGCGGCCUAUCAGCUUGUUGGUGGGGUAACUGCCUACCAAGGCGACGACGGGUA
rnacentral:rRNA from 1 species